ACGGCUCAGUAACACGUGGACAACCUACCCUCAGCACGGGGAUAAACCCGGGAAACUGGGUAUAAUACCUGAUAGUUCUGGUUAGCUGGAAUGCUUCCAGGACGAAAGCUCCGGCGACUGAGGAUGGGUCUGCGGCCUAUCAGGUAGUAGUGGGUGUAAUGUACCUACUAGCCUACGACGGGUACGGGUCGUGAGAGCGAGAGCCCGGAGAUGGAUUCUGAGACACGAAUCCAGGCCCUACGGGGUGCAGCAGGCGCGAAAACUUUACAAUGCUGGCAACAGCGAUAAGGGGACCUCGAGUGCCAGGAUACAAUCUUGGCUGUCGUAAUGCCUAAAAAGCAUUGCAUAGCAAGGGCCGGGCAAGACCGGUGCCAGCCGCCGCGGUAACACCGGCGGCUCGAGUGGUAACCGCUAUUAUUGGGUCUAAAGGGUCUGUAGCCGGCCGGAUAAGUCUUUUGGGAAAUCCAGCAGCUCAACUGUUGGGCUUUCAGAAGAUACUGUUCGGCUCGAGACCGGGAGAGGUGAGAGGUACUUCAGGGGUAGGGGUGAAAUCUUGUAAUCCUUGAAGGACCACCAGUGGCGAAGGCGUCUCACCAGAACGGAUCUGACGGCAAGGGACGAAAGCUAGGGGCACGAACCGGAUUAGAUACCCGGGUAGUCCUAGCCGUAAACGAUACUCGCUAGGUGUCGGCCACGGUGCGACCGUGGUCGGUGCCGUAGGGAAGCCGUGAAGCGAGCCACCUGGGAAGUACGGCCGCAAGGCUGAAACUUAAAGGAAUUGGCGGGGGAGCAC
rnacentral:rRNA from 1 species